CCUACGGGUGGCAGCAGUGAGGAAUAUUGGUCAAUGGGCGCAAGCCUGAACCAGCCAAGUCGCGUGCAGGAAGACGGCCCUAUGAGUUGUAAACUUCUUUUGUACGGGGGUAAAUUGAGGUACGUGUAUCGUUUUGAAGGUACCGUACGAAUAAGGAUCGGCUAACUCCGUGCCAGCAGCCGCGGUAAUACGGAGGAUUCAAGCGUUAUCCGGAUUUAUUGGGUUUAAAGGGUGCGUAGGCGGGUAGGUAAGUUAGUGGUGAAAAGCCGGGGCUCAACCCUAGCACUGCCUUUGAUACUGGCGGGCUAGAGUUGGGUUGAGGUAGGCGGAAUGUGUGGUGUAGCGGUGAAAUGCAUAGAUAUCACGCAGAACGCCGAUUGCGAAGGCAGCUUACCAAACUACGACUGACGUUGAUGCACGAAAGCGUGGGUAUCAAACAGGAUUAGAUACCCGGGUAGUC
rnacentral:rRNA from 1 species